rnacentral:rRNA from 1 species
AGAGUUUGAUCCUGGCUCAGAGCGAACGCUGGCGGCAGGCUUAACACAUGCAAGUCGAACGAUAAGCUAGACUUCGGUUUAGUGGACAGUGGCAGACGGGUGAGUAACGCGUGGGAAUCUACCUUUGAGUGGGGAAUAACAAUUAGAAAUGAUUGCUAAUACCGCAUACACCCUCCGGGGGAAAGGCUUCGGCCGCUCUUAGAUGAGCCCGCGUACGAUUAGUUUGUUGGUGAGGUAAAGGCUCACCAAGACUACGAUCGUUAGCUGGUUUGAGAGGAUGAUCAGCCACACUGGGACUGAGACACGGCCCAGACUCCUACGGGAGGCAGCAGUGGGGAAUAUUGGACAAUGGGCGAAAGCCUGAUCCAGCCAUGCCGCGUGAGUGAAGAAGGCCUUAGGGUUGUAAAACUCUUUCGACAGGGAAGAUAAUGACGGUACCUGUAUAAGAAGCUCCGGCUAACUCCGUGCCAGCAGCCGCGGUAAUACGGAGGGGGCAAGCGUUGCUCGGAAUUACUGGGCGUAAAGCGAGCGUAGGCGGUUAGUCAAGUUGGUGGUGAAAGCCCGGAGCUCAACUCCGGAACUGCCAUCAAAACUGACUUACUUGAGAUUGGUAGAGGAAAAUGGAAUUCCUAGUGUAGAGGUGAAAUUCGUAGAUAUUGGGAAGAACAUCGGUGGCGAAGGCGAUUUUCUGGGCCAUAUCUGACGCUGAGGUUCGAAAGCGUGGGUAGCAAACAGGAUUAGAUACCCUGGUAGUCCACGCC